GUGGGGAAUAUUGGACAAUGGGCGGAAGCCUGAUCCAGCCAUGCCGCGUGUGUGAAGAAGGCCUUUUGGUUGUAAAGCACUUUAAGCGAGGAGGAGGCUCUUAAGGUUAAUACCCUUGAUGAGUGGACGUUACUCGCAGAAUAAGCACCGGCUAACUCUGUGCCAGCAGCCGCGGUAAUACAGAGGGUGCGAGCGUUAAUCGGAUUUACUGGGCGUAAAGCGUGCGUAGGCGGCUGAUUAAGUCGGAUGUGAAAUCCCUGAGCUUAACUUAGGAAUUGCAUUCGAUACUGGUCAGCUAGAGUAUGGGAGAGGAUGGUAGAAUUCCAGGUGUAGCGGUGAAAUGCGUAGAGAUCUGGAGGAAUACCGAUGGCGAAGGCAGCCAUCUGGCCUAAUACUGACACUGAGGUGCGAAAGCAUGGGGAGCAAACAGGAUUAGAAACCCGUGUAGUCC
rnacentral:rRNA from 1 species